rnacentral:lncRNA from 1 species
GAAAAUAUAUAUCAAUAGUUCGUUCAAUGAUUUAUAGAUUACAUAUGAGUUUUUUUUAUUAAUUCGAAAGGUGCAUAUUAGAAACAAUGGUUUUUAGGGGCAUGUGCAUGUGCACAAUUAAUACAACAUGUGCAAACGUGCGUAUCUUCAGCAUCAUCUAGACAAGAACAACUCUGAGCUGGGACUAUUUCUCCAUAAUCAGGUGUGAAUUCUUCCAUGCAGUUUCGAGAAGAGCUACAUUUUCCAUCCAACGUUAUACUUUCCCGACAUAAGCUCGAGGGAUCAACUACAAAUGUUAUAGACAUCAAAUUAUUUCACAACUCAUUCAAAUUUUAGAUAACAUAAAUUAUAAUUUCUUUGACAAAAUUAUGUAUCAGAUGAAGAAAAAAAAACAAUUCUAAUAAUAAUAAUAAUAAUAAUAAUAAUAAGUUGUGAUAGGUAUACCAUAUCCGUAGGUGAGACUGAAGAGAACAAAUAAAACUCCAAUAGUUAAGAAAAUGUUUCCUGCUUUCAUGAUGAUAUUUGUAAUUGAAACUCUAAAAAUGUUGGGACUAACAAGAGG